rnacentral:rRNA from 1 species
CAGGGGAAUAUUGCACAAUGGGCGAAAGCCUGAUGCAGCGACACCGCGUGCGGGAUGACGGCCUUCGGGUUGUAAACCGCUUUCAGGAGGGACGAAAAUGACGGUACCUCCAGAAGAAGCUCCGGCCAACUACGUGCCAGCAGCCGCGGUAAUACGUAGGGAGCAAGCGUUGUCCGGAUUUAUUGGGCUAAAGGGCUCGUAGGCGGUUCAGCAAGUCGGUCGUGAAAGCCCGGGGCUCAACCCCGGGGAUGCCGGUCGAAACUGUUGUGACUAGAGUUCGGUAGAGGUGAGUGGAAUUCUCAGUGUAGCGGUGGAAUGCGCAGAUAUUGAGAGGAACACCAUUAGCGAAGGCGGCUCGACUGGGGCCAUACUGACGCUGAGGAGCGAAAGCGUGGGGANCGA